UACGGGGGGGGCAAGCGUUGUUCGGAAUUACUGGGCGUAAAGGGCUCGUAGGCGGCCCACUAAGUCCGACGUGAAAUCCCCAGGCUUAACUUGGGAACUGCGUCGGAUACUGGUGGGCUUGAAUCCGGGAGAGGGAUGCGGAAUUCCAGGUGUAGCGGUGAAAUGCGUAGAUAUCGUGAGGAACACCAGAGGCGAAGGCGGCUACCUGGACAAUUGCUGACGCUCAGGCACGAAAGCGUGGGGAGCAAAAGGG
rnacentral:rRNA from 1 species